GGUUAAUAUUCCUGUACUCGGUGUUACUGCGAAGGGGGGACGGAGAAGGCUAUGUUGGCCGGGCGACGGUUGUCCCGGUUUAAGCAUGUAGGCGGAUGUUCCAGGUAAAUCCGGAACGUCACUAACGCUGAGGUGUGAUGACGAGGCACUACGGUGCUGAAGUGACAAAUGCCCUGCUUCCAGGAAAAGCCUCUAAGCAUCAGGUAACAUCAAAUCGUACCCCAAACCGACACAGGUGGUCAGGUAGAGAAUACCAAGGCGCUUGAGAGAACUCGGGUGAAGGAACUAGGCAAAAUGGUGCCGUAACUUCGGGAGAAG
rnacentral:rRNA from 1 species